GUUUAUUUCUAGGGAAACUUUAUUGCACAUCGCCAAGUAUAUUUAUUCCGCUCCCUGACUUCGCCCCCGAGAGUGCGAGAGCGAGCGUUGCCCUAACUUGGAGCGACGAUAGGAUAUCAGUUAUUGCAGAAGGAGGCAACAAGCUUGAGGUAGUAGCUGCAUAAUCUGCAAGAAGUUCUGUGGGUGAAGUGAGCAUACCUAUGAGUUUCUUGCAAUUUAUGCAAUUGCUGCCUCAAGCUUGUUGCCUCCCUUUGCCAAAACUGUAAGUACAAAGCCCAGGUUUAGCCACACUAGAUAUUUCUUGGUAUUGCUAGAUUUAUAUUUUCACAGUUAACUAGGCUUCGAAAAUAAUCAUCCUAUAAGGUGAAGUGGUGAACUAUAAUCUGAAUUCUGAAAUUCAAUUGUGAGGCCAGAUCUGCCUCAAUUUUGGUCAUCUACGAGGAGAUAAACCAGAUCCACACAAGUCUAGCAUCAAUUUGUAUAUAUAUAGGUCGGUCCUGAUGGAAGUAGCCUAGAUCUGUAUGUAUCUAGAUCGAAUUUGCAUGAACUUAGGUCAAACAUGAAAAUCUAGCAUAGUCUGACACUGAUGUAGACCAGAUCCUAUGUAUGUUCAAGUAAUCUAUGUUGGAAAAAUGUUAAUUAUGUGUAGAUCAAGCUUCAAUUGAAUGAAGAAAGCAUCUUCAAGCAAAACAUGGUAAGAUUACGUGUAGAUGAAUAAAAAUUUAAGUAAAAAAUUGAUUCAAAAGAAAAAAAAUGCAAUGAAAUUAUAGAAAUAUCUUCAAAUUUACCUUGAUUUGAGAACAAUGCAAACUCUGCCUUGAAAUCCAAUCUUUGGAUGAUACACCAAGAGAAUGAAUAAAUUAAAGGAAAAGGGAUCUUUUGGUUUGAUAAUAAAAUUACGUAUGAUACACCAAAACAUAGUAAGAUCACGUAUAGAUGAAUAAAAUGUACCUAAAAAAUUGAUUCAAAAGAAAAAUAAGCAAAGAAAUUAUAGAAAUAUCUUCAAAUUUACCUUGAUUCAAGAACAAUGCCAACUCUGGCUUGAAAUCCAAUCUUUUGAUGAUAAACCAAGAGAAUGAAUAAAUGAAAGGAAAAGGGUUCUUUUGGUUUGAUAAAAACGAGGGGGGCUGCUAGUUGAAGAAAUAGAAUUGGCAUAGUUUGGGAACAACCUACCACUUGUACAACUAGUAUGCUGGUUCAAAUCAGUGAAAUGCCAGGCAUGAACCAGUAUUGAUCGGUUUCCAUGGAGCCAUAUAUUGGUUCAUGGUUACACCUGUCCAUACAAAUCUAAAUUACGAGUUUGAUUGGUUUUUAACAUUGUAUGAGAAUUGCUAUUAGCAUUAGUUGCAAAUGGAAUGUUAGCAAUUGUCUGAUCACUAUAAUUUCACAUUAUGACUCAAUUAUGGGUUUUUUGUCUUUACAAUUGUUGCAUUCAUAAUUUUCAGGCUGAACGUUCAUGAUGUAUUUUGUUUACUUCUAAUUUUCAUUGAUGAAAGCAUGCUUUUGAAAUGCAAAGCACUGUACGGGUAGUUAUGUCAUCAUAUAUUGCAUAUGCAGUAUGCUGGUGUAUAUGCAAGGACACCUAUGAGUUAUUGUUUAAAAUAUACAUAACUUUUCAAUAUCCAAAAAAAGAAAAAAAUCAGUUAAAUAUUUUCACGCAAUCUAGAUACACUUAAUGGUAAAUGACAUUAUAUCUUAACACAUUGGAGGAUUGUAAGGUAAGUCAAUACACAAAACUACAAUAAAUAUGUACAAAUUUUCUAAAGAAUUUAUUGCUCGUGACAGAAAUUUUUAUUUGAGGGAUAAAUAUAAGCUUAUUUUAGAUCAUUAAACAUUAUGCAGUUUUUCAAGCCUAUUGAAUUAAGGUUUUAAGGAAAGGAUGAUAAUGUUUUAUGGAUUAAAUAAGGGCUUAAGUUGUCUAUUGCUUGCUAAAUAAUUUAUGAAUACAAUGUUUUAUUUUGUUAUUGUUCAUACAAUUAACAAUCACCUUUUCAUCUAUAUCUUUAUACAUUUAAUUUUACUGAACUCCUUUUUUUUUAUCUGUAGCUUAACAAUCUAAUAAAUUUCUUUUUCCCCAUCCUUAGAACUUAGCUUGCUGCAAAAACUUUCAUGUUUUUUAUUUUUCCAACCAUAUAGUUUUUCUCUUUUUAGCUACUAUAUGUCUUCUAAAAUUCUUCUCGUUUCUAAUGAUUUUACCAAUCUUUAAUGCAUGUUUUGUAUUAAUGGCCUUCUGAAUUUUUUUAAUCCCACCAACGCUUUUCCUGGAUCAUCAUUUCUACCUUUAGAUUCUUCAACAAUCUCCUUUACCACACUCUUAAUCUUAGUGGUUAUUGAAGUUACUCCCAUUCAGAUUCCGAACGUCUUCUUUCUUCAUCUUACAUUUUAAAAGCCUUGUAUUAUUAUCUUUGAAAUUCUAUUAUCUAGUUCUUACAAAACUAUUUCCUACUAUUUGCUGUUUAUUUCCUAAAGCACCAUCAAUAUAUGUUGAUUUCUCUAUAUUUCUGUUGGCACAGCUUUAUGAUCCUUUCCCUAUUUACCUCUUGUCUUCAUCUCUCUUUCUGUCAAAAUUUUCUUUGCCAUGUGGGACCGUUCAACCAUAUUGGUCUGUUGAACUGCCAUCACGGUAUAGGUAUCUUGAAAGGAGACUAUGACUGUAAGCAAAAUGUUGUUGUGGCUGGUUCUCUCCUUCGAGGUCUUGUGAGAACAAGAAGCCAAUAUUUAUCUGUCUAAAUAUGACAAGAAACCACAUAGGCAGUGAUUUAAGACACAGAUUGAUCAAUUCAAUUGCUUAUAUGUAAGUUCUAAGGAUCAUAGAAGUCAACAUCAGCAGCAAGAAAAUGGUAGUGUUGUUUCUUUUGAAAGUUUAAUGCCAUAAAAUAUUUUCUUUUGUUUCAUUUGUUACUUUUUCCAGCAAGUCUGGAUUUUAUGAGGAGCAGGUUUGGAUUGUAUAAGUUUGGCUUUUUCAAAUUGUAAAGAGCAAUUUAUAGUUUGUCAGCAAAGCACCUAGCCUUUUGACAACACAUCUUUUACUGAGUGGAGCAGCAAGCAUUUCUGUCAAAGCUAGCCAUAGGGUCUAAAUGAGCAUUUUACUUUUGUGUUCUCUGGGAUUAGAUGCGAUCUCAUGGGCAUGAAGAUUUAAAUGUCUGUUUAGAAUGAACUGAAUGAGUCAAUGGGCACUGACCUAAAUGAAAUGGCUUUGAUGACUGAGUUGAGAGACGGACUGAAGCUGCUAUUCUGGUAUCUUUGCAAGAUGGAUUAUUGAUAGCACAAUGGAGGCCGAUACCUUCUUUUGCCUAACCCUCAGUGGCCUUGCAAGAGCUUCCAGAAUGAGCUACAGAUGUUGACCACCUAUUAUAACAUACCCUUGAUUAUUAUGCAUUGCCAACUUUGUAUUUAAGUAUUGGCAACUGCUUCCCAACUGGAAUGAUGUAGCCACAGUCCCUGCACUUCAUUGUGUUCGCUGUGGUUGAGAUGUGACAUAUAUGUAAUAUGGAAUGAGAUAUGCUGUC